GAGGAAUAUUGGUCAAUGGGCGGAAGCCUGAACCAGCCAUGCCGCGUGCAGGACGACGGCCCUACGGGUUGUAAACUGCUUUUCCGGGGGAAGAAUAACCCCCCUGCGGGGGGGGAUGCCGGUACCCCGGGAAUAAGGAUCGGCUAACUCCGUGCCAGCAGCCGCGGUAAUACGGAGGAUCCUAGCGUUAUCCGGAUUUACUGGGUUUAAAGGGUGCGUAGGCGGGCGUUUAAGUCCGCGGUGAAAGUCUGCGGCUCAACCGUAGGAUUGCCGUGGAUACUGGACGUCUUGGAUUCGGUCGGGGCGGGCGGAAUGCGUGGUGUAGCGGUGAAAUGCAUAGAUAUCACGCAGAACGCCGAUAGCGAAGGCAGCUCGCCGGGCCGAAAUCGACGCUGAGGCACGAAAGCGUGGGGAUCAAAC
rnacentral:rRNA from 1 species